CCUANGGGGGGCAGCAAUUAGGAAUCUUGCGCAAUGGGGGAAACCCUGACGCAGCGACGCCGCGUGAAGGAUGACGGCCUUCGGGUUGUAAACUUCUUUUAAGAGGGAAGAAGCAAGUGACGGUACCUCUUGAAUAAGCCCCGGCUAACUACGUGCCAGCAGCCGCGGUAAUACGUAGGGGGCGAGCGUUGUCCGAAGUUACUGGGCGUAAAGCGCGCGUAGGCGGGCUAUUAAGUUGGAUGUGAAAUCUCCAGGCUCAACCUGGAAACCGCAUCCAAAACUGUUAGCCUUGAGGUAUGGAGAGGGAAGUGGAAGUCCUGGUGUAGCGGUGAAAUGCGUAGAUAUCAGGAGGAACACCCGUGGCGAAGGCGGCUUCCUGGUCAUAUCCUGACGCUGAGGUGCGAAAGCUAGGGGAGCGAACGGGAUUAGAUACCCGUNUANUC
rnacentral:rRNA from 1 species